UACGGGGGGGGACUAACGUUAUUCAUCAUAACUGGGCGUAAAGGGUACGUAGGUGGCUUUGUAAGUCUCGAUUAAAGAAUCUAAGCAUAACUUAGAAAUUAUUCUUGAUACUGCUAAGCUCGAGGUCGAAAGAGGUUAAGUUGAUAUUCUUGAAGUAAAAAGUAAAAUCUUUAAGAUUAUUAAGAGGAUAAACCAAGGUGGUUAAUGACGACUUUUCUG
rnacentral:rRNA from 1 species